ACAAAACAUUUACAGUCACAUACGAACGUGUAGAAUGUUUAAUGGACUUAUAUAGAUAAUAAUAUUAUGUCCGUUUAGGUCGUGAUUGACGGUUUUCAAUACUGGGCUCACUUAACAACAACAACAACAAAAAGAAACUAUAUAACCUUGUAAAAGGGUAAACCGUAAAAAAAAAAUCAAAUAAAAGUAUAUCAGUGUGAACUGAUUUUAUAUGGAGAUAUAUUCGACCUUAUACGCUUUUUAACUGUAAUUCACCAAUACACAUGUUUAAAAUUAAAUUUACUUCCUUAUAAAAUGAAUGAAAAAAAAAAGAGAUGCAUUGGAAAAAUUAAGUUAAAAAUGUGUUUUAAAAAAAAUGUACGUAUAGGGUCAUAUAUUAAUGUACAUAAACUGAUUCGUUUUUUACAUAGGUCUUGUAAUAAUAGAUAAGUAAAUAAAUACUCUAAACUUAACUAAAAGUUAAUAAUAUUAAAGACAAUUGUACAUUUGUUGAUAGAAAAAAAUUGUAUUGUAUUUUUUUUUUUUUUCAUAUUAUUCUAAUAGAUAUUAAUAUAAAAUUGAUAAUGUAUAAUUUUUCAUCA